rnacentral:lncRNA from 1 species
AUGAGCCUACUGAUCUCUGCAGAGUCUCCACAGGGUUCCUCCCGCAUGGUGUCCUGGUGGGAUGGGUCUGGAGCUGAAGCAGAGGAGCAGCACCACAGGUGGGCACUGGGGGAUCUUGCAUCUCCACAGAAGUCCAAAGUGGGCCAUGGAGUAGUCAGUGCACAAGCCCAGGUGAUGUGGGCUGCAGGGUCCUGGGCUGCAGAGCGUGCUGGGUUGCUGUGCCCCAGGAGGCCAGAAGGAUGCGGGGGGGGGGGGGGGGAAACUAAUGUGCAUUUCCAGGGCCCCUGCCAUGGGAGGAUUAGUGUAAAACCCACAGAUUUCUCAAUAUUUUCCUGACCCAAAGUGCUGAGUUUGUUUUGCUGUGAUUUAUGGGAUCCUGUUACUCGCUCUCUGUGAGUAGCAAGACGAUCAUUGGGGAUUUAUUAAGAAACUUUCACAAGUCCCAGAACUCUGUCAAGUUUUUGCAUGAGUAAUAAUUUGCCUAAAAACUGGGAGGAGAAGGUGACACGCUUGCUCCGUGCUGGUGGAAGGACACGUGCCCUGGCCACCAACCCCUGCACUGAGCCGAAGCCAACGCUCUGCAAC